AUUGAACGCUGGCGGCAGGCUUAACACAUGCAAGUCGAGCGGAGAGAGGUAGCUUGCUACUGAUCUUAGCGGCGGACGGGUGAGUAAUGCUUAGGAAUCUGCCUAUUAGUGGGGGACAACAUUUCGAAAGGAAUGCUAAUACCGCAUACGUCCUACGGGAGAAAGCAGGGGAUCUUCGGACCUUGCGCUAAUAGAUGAGCCUAAGUCGGAUUAGCUAGUUGGUGGGGUAAAGGCCUACCAAGGCGCCGAUCUGUAGCGGGUCUGAGAGGAUGAUCCGCCACACUGGGACUGAGACACGGCCCAGACUCCUACGGGAGGCAGCAGUGGGGAAUAUUGGACAAUGGGCGGAAGCCUGAUCCAGCCAUGCCGCGUGUGUGAAGAAGGCCUUAUGGUUGUAAAGCACUUUAAGCGAGGAGGAGGCUACUUUAGUUAAUACCUAGAGAUAGUGGACGUUACUCGCAGAAUAAGCACCGGCUAACUCUGUGCCAGCCGCCGCUGUAAUAC
rnacentral:rRNA from 1 species